UAGAAAUUGAAGAUAACUAGAACUCUUCCACCAUGAAAGAGUACGCACAAAUGCUGAAGUUAAGCAAGAAUUGGGAGCAAGAUAACAAGGAAUUUUGCAAGCUAUUCUUGUGUGUUUCGAGUGUGCGACCCUGAAACUACAUAUAUGAACCAGAUAGAAGAACCAAUUGCAUGUGUCUGUCUUUUAUUAUAGUUCAAUUGUAGUAGGAUUUUUGAGUUGUACCUUUCAGCUUUCUCUAGAAGUAUUUGUACUAGAUACUUUGAGUUGUAUUGUUCAAGUUACAGCUAACUUGAAGCGGUCACAACAACAUGAGGCUGGUUGCCGCAAGAGUUAGAGGUAAUCCUUAGGUUUAUAAGAGUUAUGUAAAUAUUUUUGUUUGGCUCAGAGUUAUAUUAAAGUUUUGAAAAAAAUCUUAGUGGGAAGUAGGUCGUGAUUUUUUCACC